GUGAAUCAUCGAAUCUUUGAACGCACAUUGCGCCCCUUGGUAUUCCGAGGGGCAUGCCUGUUUGAGUGUCAUUAAAUUAUCAACUCGAAAAACUUUGUGUUUUCGAUGUUUGGAAUUGGAGUGUGCCGGGGCCCCUACAAAGGGCUCGGGCUCCUCUUGAAAUGCAUUAGUGGAACUUCUGAUUGCGGACCUGCUCCAGCGUGAUAGUUAUCUACGUUGCGGCAGUGAAGCGGUUUAAAUUUGGAGGAUUCGCUUACAACCGUUGCAUAUAUGCGCAACACAUUCAUGACAAUUUGACCU
rnacentral:misc_RNA from 1 species